UAAAUCACAUCCCCCUUUCUCAUUUCUCGCAUCUUCCAUCUUACGACGCUAUACUCUGCUUCACCGGCCCUAAGACUGGUUCACCGACGCUAUCAAGUAUCAACUGUGGUGGGCCAUCUUACGAUCGUCGUCUUGAGAUUAAUCAAACCUGGAAACUUUGCAUUAAUUUCUCCAAUUCCCUUCCAGGAAAUAAUGGGUUUGAUUUCUCUAUUUUAAUUUCAUCCCUAAAUUGCGUGAGAUGAAUAAUAAACCUAUUCUCAAUCACAAUCAAGAAUAGCAGAAGAAAAGCAACAAUUAUGGUCAUACGGUCAUGAUUAAGGAGGCUUAGGUUGAAUCAAUGAACUAGUAUGCACUAUAGGAUACAAAGAGAUCUGAUAACAAGUACACUCUUUUGUAUUCUUUUCAGAUUGUUAUAGGUGGCGUCUCUAUAAUGUUUCUCUGCUUUCAAGUUAUUGUUCCCGCUAUACAAACGUUUUGAGAUUUGUACAAUGGCUUUCAAUUUAUAUUUAUAUUUUAGAUUGUAUCUUAAGUUAUCUAGUGUCAUGUAUGCAAAAUUUAUUCUAAAUUUAAACUGCACUUACGUAAUUGUAUUUGCAGUUCCGCAGCAGUUUCUGAGGGUUGACCAACUUGAUGCAGUUUUAUUGGUGUUACUGUUGGAUGAUUGGUUUAUAUUAAGUGUUGGUUGUUUUUUAGUAACAUGUGUGUAUUACGCUUUUUUCUGUUGCACCUAUUGUUGUCCAGUUUAAGAAGGUGUUAAGAUGUUUUGUUUGGUGUUGCAGUCCGCUUUUCAUAAUUGGGUGGUUCUAAGAGGGUCCUCGUUGCUUUGGUUGGUGCUAACAGGAGCUUGUUGCAGUUUUGUUCAGUUGUGUUGGCAUGUUGUGGCCUAUUUUUUGUUUUUGGGUGAAGUCGGCUAGGCAGUGGACCGUAGUUGAAUAUUUGACUUUGGCUUUUCAGCAAGAACUUCUGUAUUUCUUUGUUUUGCUUGUGUUGGUUGUUUAUGUGCUUUGUUUAUGCUAAUGUACUUGCAAAAUUGGAGGCAUACUUAGUAUUUUGGGUACUACUUGCAAAGUUGCAGUUAGCAUGAUCAUGUUGAAGCUUUCAGGUUUUUUUUGCUGUGCUGCAGCCCUUUCUCUUCUGCUUUUCUACAGAUGAAGCUGCUCGUUGGUGGUGUUGUCUGCAGUAUGCUUUUCAUUUGGUCCAGGCAUUGUGGAAGGCAACAACUUGCCUAGCAGUCAUGUCUCCGCUCUUGUUUGCAGUUGUAUUUUACUUAGCUUGUAAUUAGUUAGGCUAGCUUUUUCUUUUUGGCUUGCGUUUGUUGGCUUGCCUAGGUUUUUGUUUGGUAUAGCUUGUACAAACUCCCCUCCCGUUUGAUUUUAAUAUAUUGCUUAUUUACAUUAAAAAAAUAUUGGAUGGAUGCCUCCUAAUUCUUGUAAAUACUUUUUGGUUCUAAUGAAUUUCUUA